GACUUUAACAAAAGUUUACUGGAUGAUUGUGUUAGACUUGAUUUGGUUAAACAACUCAGUUUUUUAUGUGCCGAAGAUUUUAAACAACUGACAAGAUUGGUCAUGAAUAGAUUAUUUACAAAUACCCUGUUGACACAGUUCAACUUAAAAGGUUCUGGCGGAAAGAUUGGUUUACAUUCAACCAAACUAUAUGAUGUAAUAGAAGAAGUUGUAAAAAGAAAGUUUGAAAAAGUUUCAAACGCUGAUACUAAACAGCAAAUUGGACGAUUUUUGAAAAAAUGCUCCAUCGUGG